rnacentral:rRNA from 1 species
GAAAGAUGAAAAGAACUUUGAAAAGAGAGUUAAACAGUACGUGAAAUUGUUGAAAGGGAAACGAUUGAAGUCAGUCAUACCAACGGGAAAUCAACCUUUUGAGCUCGGUCUCGUGGGUUUUGAAGAGUUUCAAAGCCUUCGGAUUCGCGGGAUUGGGAUCUCUCGGUGUACUUUUUCGUACGGUUAGUCAACAUCGGUUUUGAAUGUCAUAAAAUGACUGGAGGAAUGUAGCUUCGAUCUCGUAUUGAAGUGUUAUA